GGAAAAAGAGAAAAAGAAAAAAAACAAUCUAAGAAAGAGCACAUAAACCCCAUCUGUCCAUCAUUCCUCAGUAUGGAUCAGCCAGUGAAUGCUUUCAAGGGAAGAAGUUUUGUUUACAAAGAGACAGAAUAUAAUCGAAAUACAGAGAGACAGGUGCGAUGAAAUGAGUGACUCCCCUGAGACAAAGAGAAGGCCCCACAAAGAGUCCACAGGCUUUACACAUUCAUCUAGUCGCUCCUUAGUGUGAGAAGAGUUUGCAUGAAACCCCUCAUCCCAAGUUCCGGCUUCAUCAUGGCUUGUGUUAGCCCACGGAUUCACUCUUGAUGCCUUCCCUUUUCCUACUCUGAUAACUAACAAUUAUGGAAAUGUAAACUUCGAUUUGUCAGUGGCACUCGGGUAUCGCAACUCAUAAAAGCUCAAAGUCACAUUGGCAUUUUUCCUGGAAUAGAAAACGCCAGGCAUCCUGUUGGAAGCCCCAGCCAGAGAGGAGGAAGGCAGACUGCGUUGAGCCUGUGCGGGGAGGGGGGGCUUCUGUGAGCCUCCUGCCAACGCAGAGACUGAUGCUGCCGGUCCGCCCCACCCGCUCAGAAGGAUUAGGCAGACAAAACCCAAACACAGAAAGAGACCAAAUACCCCCAGGAACUGAGACAGGUAGCGGCCUCAGCUCCAAAUGUCAAUUACUGGAAGUCUCCAGAGUCUGGUUAAAAAUAGAUAUGCAGGUUUCUUUGUUCACCUGUCAGCGAGGGUCAUCCCAUCACAUCAGAUUCCCAUCACCCUCUUUUCACCCAGUAGCUGAGUUGUCAACCAUUUGCAACUGUAAAUUUUGGUUACGGUGCUGUCACAGGGUCUAAAUUAGCAUAUGCUCCCUUUCAAUUAUAUCCAGGUUUUCACAGGACGUGACAGAUAAAGGGAUGCACAUAGAUACAGUAUGUGUAAACACUGCGAUACCCUGGCUCCCCCCCACCCUUCGCCCAUAGAGCCUCUGUGUGUUUGUGCAAAGAGGGAGAGAGAGUUGGGGCGGGAAGCAGUUGCAAGCUGCCCACAAGGCAGGCAGGUUAGGCAAACCAGGAGUCAGGAUGGGACUUAGGGAGCUUUACAGAGUCCCUCACGCUGCAGUUUUCUUCGUCUUCGUACUUAGGCAAAUCCCUCGCUCCCCACCUUUACCCAAGAAAUUCUGUACAAAUGAAUUAGAUUUAGUCUGAAUGACUCAUGAACUUCUCCUGCUCAAAGUGCUUAAAUUUGCAGUCAACUCCAAAUUAGACUUGGUAAUUGAGGGAGCCGUGGUACAGAUAUUCCCAAAUAACAGACAAUCUAAAAGUCAUUUUGACUUGAUGCUGGUAGGCGAUGUUUGAUUUUUUGGAGGGGUGCAGCGGAUUUGCUUCCCUAAUUAGUUUUUGCUUAAGCCAGUAUCAAACUUGGAUUCUCUUCCUGGCUUGAAACAAAAGGAUACACAGAACCUGGAGGAAAAGCCCCCCUGAAAUGUAAAUUUCGCCCCUUAAAGGGGACAUAGCCACAAAAAUGAGCAAUUUGCAAAUUCUCCCUAAAUCUAGGUUUAACUCGAGAGAGAGGGGUGGGAGGUAUAUUUAAUUUUUCUGCUUGCCAGAAAUUUCCUUUUCACUUGACUCAGCCCUAUUCUAUUUUUCUCUCAAAUUUAACCUUGCUGUCCACCCCCACCAAAAAAAACAAAAACAAAAACAUCCCAUUGGCUGUGUCCAUGUUUGGGACAUCUUACCCAAGCCUAUACAUCUUUGUAGUAGUUCCCUCCCAGAUAAGCAAGCAUUUCAAGAACUAAUCCACCCUCGAAAAACUGCUCCAGAUCUAUUUUUGGCGACAAACAGAAUUUAUUAGAGCUCAGGUAGACCUUUCUUUAAGUAUAAGCAAUUGGCUUCCCCUGGCCCUUUUCUAAUAUAAGUUUUCUUCCCCAAAAUAGGAACAAAAUAAAAGAUUCUAUAAAACUGACUCUGCUUCAAAUCAUUUAUGAUGUCUUCCCCAAAAGGGCCAUCUUGUCCUUUCCAACAGCUCCCAGCAAUUCUGCUCUCUCCCAGGGCCCCAGCCUCAUCUUUUCAGAACCUACAGGCAUUGUAAAGCAGUGUCUUUUGCUUCCUCUGUCUUUGCCCUUUGCAUAACAACUCAAAAUUUACCAUCCUUGCCACAUUUGAGAACUGUUCUUAACCCUUCAUAUAUUUUAGCUCAUUUAAUCACAGCUCUAUGAAUAGACACCUUUGUUAUCCGCAUUUUCCCCCAUAGGUGGGAAGGUAAGUGUUCAAACCCAGCACCCUGAUCCUGAGACUCAGGCCUCCACUUAACCGUGAGACAGUCCCUCCCUACCCUGAAACCUACGCUUGUCCUCACUGCUGUGGCUCAACAAAGGACCCAGGGGACGAUACUGACAAUUUGGCACAAAAACGUAGUUGCACAUGAGUCCUUUCCACCCUCAGUGAUCUCCCAGGGUUCUCUGUCAUUAACUAAGGCAGAAUGUCUCCACAUCGGGGAACAGUGCAUGCAAACAGCUCCCCAGGUGGUUCAGUGGGUAGCCAGGGUUGAGACCCAUUCAUGAAGAUGAAUAGAAGGAAAAUGAUUUUUUAAAAAAGAUGGGUAAUAAAAAUCUAGGUGCAUUAGAUUCUCAAUCCCAACCUUACCCCCUGGACCCAGAUCCCCUUCUGCACGUAAAAAUGUGCAGCCCUUUCUCAGACAAGGGAGAGCUGCAGCUAAUUAAGUUGGCCUCCUUUCUUGAAAGGAAAGUCAUAAAAUCAUAAUCAAUACAACAGUAGAGUCGAUGAGGAGGUUGGGUAAGAGAACAUAUAUGAACUCGUUUUUGCCUCAAAAAGUUUGUGAUGGCAGAGAAAAAAAAUUAGAGUAACAUUACAUGGCAAGAGUAAAAUGGAUUAAAAUGUCUUCUUGGAGUUCCCAUUGUGGCUCAGCAGUAAUGAGCCCGACUAGUAUCCAUAUCCAUGAGGACUCAGGUUGAUCCCUGGCCCCACCCAAUGGGUUAAGGAUCCGGUGUUGCCAUGAGCUGUGGUGUAGUCUGAAAGCUGCAGCUCCUAUUCAACCCCUAGCCUGGGAACUUUCAUAUGCCAUGGGUGUGGCCCUAAAAAGACAAAAAGAAAAGGUCUUACCUCUGUUCCUGGCUUUGCAAUUUUCGUGCACAGUAGAUCUUUUACCAGGCUCCCUUCAGUACGCUGUAAGCCAGAUAAUUAUUUGCAACCCCCUGCCAUCCCAAAGCUAUCUCUGAGCAAAGAUUUAAUGUCUUGAGUUCCAUAGUGAGAUUUCCGAUUACCAAGACUUCAUUAUCUUUGUGAAACAAGCGAUGAUACAUUUACGCCGAGGUACCGGGAAAGUUUGAUCAUAGACUGUGAAGUCUCAGCUACCAUUGUCAAAACAAAAGGAUAAAGCAUAUUGUGUGAUUUACUUGCCUUGAUUCUCUUCUGUCUGUUUGCAUACCCACUCGUCUGCAAAAUCUGGUAAUUCACAAUGGGGCUCUCUGUCAUUAGUCUGAAUUAGUAAGUUUCUACUGUGUUUUAGAAAUCAAAUUGAAGUCCUCAGGAGGUGAAAUGCUCGGAAUUAUCUAAAUGAUUUUCAUUAUUGUCGCUCCGAUUUUUAUUAAACAUGUUAUUACUUUUCAGAAAUAAUGAACAAUAAUAUAAUAAUUAAUAACCAAACAUACAUCAAGAGGUACUUUAUUUCAAACUACAAAAUUAAAAGGCUGAUGAUCAGCCUCCUUGGCUGUAGAGAAGUAUCUGUGGUUUCCCUACGAGACCGUUUGGCUGGCAUAUCUGGGCUGAGUUUAGUCCCAGGCAGGCACACUUCUUUGUCCUUUAUCUUGCUGUCUCCAUGGAUGUCCCGAUGUAUCACGUUUACUGGGUCUCGACACAUGCUCUCAACUAUGGAGGCAGACGUUGUAAUGACAUUCACAGAGUGCCAGAUUCCUAUUAAAAUGUCCCCUCGAGAGCAUCCCAGAGGACACGAAGAAACUAGUCUGAGAAUUUUCUUCUCGAGUUCCCAUUAUAACUCAGCAGGUUAAGAACCCAGCACAAUGUCUGUGAGGAUGCAGGUUCGAUCCCUGGCCUCACUUAGUGGGUUAAGGAUCCAGCAUUGCUGCAAGCUGUAGCGUAGGUCACAAAUGCGGCUUGGAUCCUGAGUUGCCCCAGCUGCGGCUGUGGUGUAGGCCGGCAGCUGCAGCUCUUAUUUGACCCCUAGCCUGAGAACUUCCAUGUGCCACGGGUGCGGCUGCAAAAAGAAAAAAAGAACUUUUUUCCUCUCUUUUUUCCCCUCCUAUCCAUCCAACCUCACUUCCUCUCAGACUCUUCCAUGAAUGAUCUUUUGUGAAGCUCUCAAAUUGUGCGAAUGUGUUCAGACUGGUUUUCCCCUCCUUUCUUCUCUGGCUCAGCAUCCUUGACCUCGCUGCCGUCCAGAAGUCUGCUCCUUCCCAUGUCAAACUGGAAUCGCUCCAGGCGAAACGUUUCCUUCCCAACAGGGCAACUCGGAAGCAUGUGCAUCAAAAGCAUUAGAUUCCUGUUUUGGUUAGAACUUUAAGGUGGGGCCAGGGGAGUGAGGGUCCCACAGGCAGAGAAACACCCCUAAAAACUCACACGACAAUGUAAGUGGAGCCUCAAACAUCUCACUCCCCUAGCGUGUAGGAGAUGAGAAAAGAAUAUGAGCUUGAGCACAUUUCUGUCCCUCCGAAGCUUCGUGAUUUUCCCUGUCACCACCCCCCGAUGGAACUCAGGAUGAACUACUUUUCUGAAUAACAUUUUACUGGAACAUAGUCUCGUAUCCAUUCAUUUACGUAUUUAUUACCUAUGGCUUCUCUUUGUGCUGAUGUGGUCAGAGUUGGGCAGUUGUGUCAAAGACUCCGUGGUCCACAAAGCCAAAAAUAAUUACUCCAUGGCCCUGUAGAGAAAAAGUUUUUCCAUCCAUAGUUUAAAAUUUUUUUUUAAUUUUUUUACAAUUUUAAAGUUUCCAUUUAGAAUUAUUACAAAAGAUUGGCUAUAUUCCCCAUGCUGUGCAAUACAUUCCUAUAGCCUCUCUUACACAGAAGAGUCUGUACCUCCCAACUCCCCCACCCCAAUAUUGCCCCUCCCCCAGCUCCCCCUGGUCACCACUAUCUGUGAGCCCUGCCUCUUUUUUGUUGUAUUCACUAGGUUGUUGUAUUUUUUAGAUUCCACAUAUAAGCAAAUCAUACCACAUUUAUCUUUCACUCUGACUUAUUUCCCCUAGCAUAAAGGGGGAACUAUUUUUCCCUCUUUUAAAUUUUCUUCAUUUGCUCAUUAUUCAAAGUGCUGUCUCGGUCCAGAGCUGUUCUCUCCUCUGUGUCCCUCCCUGCCCCACUCCUGGCUAUUUCAGCCUCAUCUUUCAGGAUUCUGGGUAGAAGACUCUUCCUCCAAGAUGCCAAGCCUUCUAAGCCUUCCCCUUUCCCAAAAGCAUUUAAUGAACCUUUUGCUUUCAUGGACUCUUCCAUGUAGACGUUACUCUCGCUGAGGGCAGGAACCAUGUUUGGUUACUCACCUUUGUUCCUCGUACCCAGAUACAGUACCUGGCACACAUAGACAUUCAUCAAAUGCUCGUUUAACGACAGCGUGCGAGUUAAUGGGCGGAUGGAUGUCAGUAACGCAGGGAAAGUUUGCAUCAUUUUCUCUCCCUGUUCAUAUCACCACCCCUCACCCAGGCAAACCUGCAGCCCAUCUCACCAUCUUUGGAUCCCUCCAUCAAUGUCCUCCAUUUUUACCGUCUUAGCUCGGUGUCAUGAGGUAAGAAGGAAAGUCUUCAGCCUUCAGAACUCUCAAGAAUGGGAGAUAAAGGAUGGGAAGAAAAGCAUGUGCAGAACCGGAAAGGAUCUGCCAAACAGCAGAAUCUGGUAAGAUGCACAGGUCCUCACUUUGUAAAAUGGACAGCAAAACCCCAGGUUUCCAGAGAGCCAGACAUGAGCAUCAAAUGGUAAUACUGAUGUUGGGAGAGGGGAAGGGAAAGGAAAAGAAGGGGAGCUAGCCCGUAAAAUUAGGAAAUCAAGAGAAAUUAGGGACAUUGGCACUGCUUAGAGAUACAGGAAAACUGCCUCAAUGAAAAACCAUAUAUUAAAAAUUUGGAUGGGCUACGUGGAGGUAACACACAUUGCGCUCAUCCGCAUAAAUUGCCUACAAAUGUUGCCUAAACAUGAUGUAGGACAAGAGUAAUUUUAUUUAUCAAAAAUUACAAGUCAAGGCGUUCCCACUGUGGCUUAGUGGAUUGAGAACCCGACAUAGACUCCGUGAGGAUGAGGGUCCGAUCUCUGGCCUCACUCCGUGGGUUAGGAUCUGGCAUUGCUGCAGCAUAGGUCACAGAUGUGGCUCAGAUCCGGUGUUGCCAUGGCUGUGUAGGCCUGCAGCUGCAGCUCCCAUUGGACCUCUAGCCCGGGAACUUCCAAAUGCUGCAGGU
rnacentral:lncRNA from 1 species